rnacentral:tRNA from 1 species
AGCUCUGAAGUAUCAUACGUCGGAUUGCAAAUCCGGAAAUGCAGGUUAAUUGCCGGCCGGGGCUU